rnacentral:misc_RNA from 1 species
GACAGAGGGUGCAAGCGUUGCUCGGAAUUAUUGGGCGUAAAGCGCGUGUAGGCGGUCUGGUAAGUGGGGUGUGAAAGCCCUCGGCUCAACCGAGGAAGUGCGCCCCAAACUACCAGACUCGAGUGCUGGAGAGGGAAGCGGAAUUCCCGGUGUAGAGGUGAAAUUCGUAGAUAUCGGGAGGAACAUCAGUGGCGAAGGCGGCUUCCUGGACAGACACUGACGCUGAGACGCGAAAGCGUGGGGAGCAAACAGG